GCCUACUUGGUGAAAUUGGUAGACACGACAGACUUAAAAUCUGUUUUUUGCUGGUUCGACCCCAGCAGUAGGCA
rnacentral:tRNA from 1 species